rnacentral:misc_RNA from 2 species
AACGCACCUUGCGCCCUCUGGUAUUCCGGAGGGCAUGCCUGUUUGAGUGUCAUGUAGACUCAAUCCCUCGGGUUUCCGUGGAGAUUGGACUUGGGUGUUGCCGCUCUGCCGGCUCGCCUUAAAAGACUUAGCGGGAUAGCACCGUAGUCGGCGUAAUAAGUUUCGUCGGUGAAGGUUGUGAUGACUGCUUACAAUCGCCCUCGGGCAAUUUUUGACUCUGACCUCAAAUCAGGUAGGACUACCCGCUGAACUUAA